UACAACCCUCUGCUGGGGACAUGGACUGGUCUAAGGAUAGCCUUGAGAAGGGCCACCUAACUACCUGCUGUCGGCGUGGACCACAACUCAAGAUAAUUUCUGUUGAGGAGGAGUAGCCUCGUUCCCAGAAACUGCAAUUAUUGCAGUGGUUACUGUCACUUAUCAGUUACUGGGUGAAGCAUAAACUUAAAAGUGACUCGAAAAAGCGAAGGGAAGGAAUUCUUUAUUUCCCAGCCUCAUCAAAAGUUAAUACAAGCAAGCUGUGUGCAUCAAGAAUAAAAAUAUGGCAUGAAAAUGGACUAAAACAGAGAAGAGGCAACUGCAAACAUUUAAUUUUGUCACGUGCUUCCAAAAAGAUGCUCAGAACAACAGAGACACGACCGACACAUCAGAAUUAUCUUUCUUUGUGGAGAAGGCAGGCGAUCA